CUUUGUUCUAAUUACUGAUAUUUCAAUAUCAUUAAUUUUUUUAAUCAUAAUUUUAGUAAUAUUCUCAAAUUCCUCUAAAUCAAAAAAAGGUUCUAAUUGACUUUGAAUUUUCUUAAUUUUAUCCUCCAAUUCAUGUAGGUUCAAAUUCCUACGAUCUAUAAUGAUUCUCAUCAUAUGGGAGGAAAAGGAAUCAAGGGCCCCAUCCCAAAUUCCCAUAAAAUCUGCGUUUUCUUGAUCAAAAGUGGGUAAUUUAUCAAAUCUUAAACCCCUUGGGGUAAUCUGGAGAGCAAUAUAUUUUUCUAAAGUAAAAAUCUCCCAUUUGAUCUUCAUUUCUUUAAUUAGAAGUUUUUCCAACUCUUUACAUAUUGUAUCUAGAUCAUUGUCUAUGAGGAUACUUUCAUUAAUUUUACCCUCAUUUUCCAUUUCAAAUUUUUGUUCUAAAUUAUUUCGCCAUUUGCUUCUUAUUUGGAAAAUAGACAUGAUCUUCUAGACCAGUAACCUUAAAAAGUGACAAUAAAACAAGCAGUAAAGUAUAAAAGAAUUAAGGUUAAAAU